AGAGCGAACGCUGGCGGCAGGCCUAACACAUGCAAGUCGAGCGCCGUAGCAAUACGGAGCGGCAGACGGGAGAGUAACACGUGGGAACGUACCCUUUGGUUCGGAACAACCCAGGGAAGCUUGGGCUAAUACCGAAUAAGCCCUUACGGGGAAAGAUUUAUCGCCGAAGGAUCGGCCCGCGUCUGAUUAGCUAGUUGGUGGGGUAACGGCCCACCAAGGCGACGAUCAGUAGCUGGUCUGAGAGGAUGAUCAGCCUCAUUGGGACUGAGACACGGCCCAAACUCCUACGGGAGGCAGCAGUGGGGAAUAUUGGACAAUGGCGCAAGCCUGAUCCAGCCAUGCCGCGUGGGUGAUGAAGGCCCUAGGGUUGUAAAGCCCGUUUCGGCGGGGAAGAGUAAUGACGGUACCGCAGAAGAAGCCCGGCUAACUUCGUGCCAGCAGCCGC
rnacentral:rRNA from 1 species